rnacentral:rRNA from 1 species
GAUGAACGCUGGCGGCGUGCCUAAUACAUGCAAGUCGAGCGAACAGAUGAUGAGCUUGCUCCUCUGACGUUAGCGGCGGACGGGUGAGUAACACGUGGAUAACCUACCUAUCAUACUGGGAUAACUUCGGGAAACCGGAUCUAAUACCGGAUAAUAUAUUGAACCGCAUGGUUCAAUAGUAAAAUACGGUUUUGCUGUCACUUAUAGAUGGAUCCGCGCCGCAUUAGCUAGUUGGUAAGGUAACGGCUUACCAAGGCAACGAUGCGUAGCCGACCUGAGGGGGUGAUAGGCCACACUGGAGGUGAGACACGGUCCAUAGGACUAAGAGAGGCAGCAGUAGGGAACGUGCGGCAGUGGGCGAAAGCAUGACGGAGCAACGGCGCGUGAGAGAUGAAGGUCUUCGGAGCGUAAAACUCUGCUAUUAGGGAAGAACAACUGUGGAAGGAAAUAUGCACGUAGUGACGGUAACGAAUAAGAAAGCACCGGCUAACUACGUG